UACGUAGGUGGCAAGCGUUGUCCGGAUUUACUGGGCGUAAAGAGCGCGCAGGCGGUCGUUCAAGUCGCGUGUGAAAGCCCCCGGCUCAACUGGGGAGGGUCACGCGAUACUGAUCGACUCGAAGGCAGGAGAGGGUAGUGGAAUUCCCGGUGUAGUGGUGAAAUGCGUAGAUAUCUGGAGGAACACCGGUGGCGAAGGCGGCAUCCUGGACCAACACUGACACUGAGGAGCGAAAGCCAGGGGAGCAAACGGG
rnacentral:rRNA from 1 species